AUUGAACGCUGGCGGCAUGCCUUACACAUGCAAGUCGAACGGUAACAGGUCUUCGGAUGCUGACGAGUGGCGAACGGGUGAGUAAUACAUCGGAACGUGCCCGAUCGUGGGGGAUAACGGGGCGAAAGCUUUGCUAAUACCGCAUACGAUCUACGGAUGAAAGCGGGGGAUCUUCGGACCUCGCGCGGACGGAGCGGCCGAUGGACGAUUAGGUAGUUGGUGGGAUAAAAGCUUUCCAAGCCGACGAUCUGUGGCUGGUCUGAGAGAAUGAUCAGCAAAAGGGGGACUGAGACAGGCCCCAGACCCAUCGGGGAGCAAGAGGGGGGAAUUUUGGAAAAAGGGGGAAAGCCGUGACCCGCCCAGGCGGCGGGAAGAAGAAGGUCUUUGGGUUUGAAAACUGUUUUGUACGGAAAGAAAAGCCUUUUUUCAAAAAAGGGGGGGUAAGGAGGGUCCGGAAAGAAAAAGCCCCGGCUAACUCCGU
rnacentral:rRNA from 1 species